AUUGAACGCUGGCGGCAUGCCUUACACAUGCAAGUCGAACGGCAGCACGGGAGCUUGCUCCUGGUGGCGAGUGGCGAACGGGUGAGUAAAGCAUCGGAACGUAUCCGGAAGUGGGGGAUAACGUAGUGAAAGUUACGCUAAUACCGCAUAUUCUGUGAGCAGGAAAGAGGGGGAUCGCAAGACCUCUCGCUUUCGGGGCGGCCGAUGUCGGAUUAGCUAGUUGGUGGGGUAAAGGCUCACCAAGGCAACGAUCCGUAGCGGGUCUGAGAGGAUGAUCCGCCACACUGGAACUGAGACACGGUCCAGACUCCUACGGGAGGCAGCAGUGGGGAAUUUUGGACAAUGGGCGCAAGCCUGAUCCAGCCAUGCCGCGUGAGUGAAGAAGGCC
rnacentral:rRNA from 1 species